CUUGGAGGUUUUCUGCUGUUACAAAACUGCCUUCUCUCCUGCACUGUCCAGCAGUAGGAGGCUCUAUGUAGGUAGCACACGAUCGUAACAAAAGAAUAGUUAGACGAUGGCUUUGAUUGUCUUGGUGAGUGUUAGAUGGAAAGAUCAAUACUAUUUUUGUAUCUUGUGUCCUAAAUAUGAAGCUUUAGCCAGGAGACAGGUAGCCUGGCAAAGUUCACUAGCAACACUAAAAGUCAAAUUUGCAUACAGAUGAGUGACAGAUUAAAGGAAAAACUAACAUAGCGUGUCUUAGUAAGGUAUUGGGCCUACAGAACAGCUUCAGUGUGCCUCGACUUUGCUUAGAUUUGUAUGUGGAACUGUACUGGAGGAAUGAACACCAUAUUUCCAAAAGAUAUUCAUUCACAUUUGGUGUUUUGAUGAUGAUGGUGCAGAGCAAUGUCGACACGUCCGUCCAAAAUCUCCAGUAGUUGUUCAUUCAGGUUGAGAUGGCAAAGGCCAUAGCUUCAUAAUUCACAUCGUUUUCAUACUUAUCAAACCAUUCAGUGCCCUGUGAAUAGACAAACUGUCACCCGUUCAUAGUUAGUCUCAUCAACAUAGAAGUGCUUCAUUAUAAGAUAAAAAAUAGUCACGCUCAAUGACUUUGUAUUGAUAAUGCAAGCAAAAUGCCGCACACCGUGUAACAAUUCCACCAGAUCCCCUCACUAUAGGGGGCCAAGAGGUUCAGGUUUCUCCUUUAAUUCAUCACCUGUCUGUAUCCUAUUUGUUUGUAUCCAACACUUAAUUGUAAAAAACACUUUUUGUGGUUUUACAGGAGUUUGUAUGUUGGACUAUGAACAGUGAAGACUCCAAGAGGUAACUAUGCCUGGCCAAGAAUCAGUCCGAGACAUAACUAAAUGUUAAACUACACAGUGGUUUUUACACUCUAACUACAGUUUAAACAAAUACAAAAAUUGAAUGAUUGAGCUUUAAGGGUGCUUCUUCAUGCAAUGCUAAGUAGCUGCUGGUUGUAGCCUCAUAUUUCCUGGACAGAUGUGAAUGUGGUAGAUCAUCUUAUCUGUCGCCACAUAGAUAUAUUUAUUUACAACUACUCUGUUAAUGUGAUGCAAUCUGUUCUUGGUACAAGCGACAGACAUUCUGAGAAUUUUAAUCAGAUCGAUGCUUCCAUAACAGAUUAUUUGAUUUGAAUGGGUUUUAGAAUAUUCUAAAACUGAAGACAGGAGGAUUAGAAAUAAAGUCAUCACCUCAAGACCUCUCAGAUUUAUCCUGAUCACCAAUCAUUGAUGUAUUAACACGGAACCAUGUAGCAUUUUCCAAAAUAGGAACUUUCCAGGACAAGAUAAAAAGAAACAGAGCGAAACAAACAGGUAAGAGAUUAUUUUUAACCUGACAAUUUCUCUCAGUUCGUCGGUUGGUCCACCACUUUGGUCCAGAUGAAAAUGUCUCAAUGACCAUUGAGCGGUUUGCUGUAAACUUUUGUGCAUUCAUGGUGCCCAGAGGAUGAAUCCUAAUGACUUGAGUGAUCUGCUGUCUUUACAUUUAGUAGCAUCAGCAGGUCAGAAUGUUCACUUUACUUGUGAAAUACCUUGUCAUCAUGUAAAAACACUCAUGUUUCCCCCAGGAUUAAAUGAAGUAACGUUUGCAAUCUCUCGAUGUUUUAUCUAGUGUCUUGAUCAAGUUCCACUUUUCAUUUGUGUAAUACUGGUG
ensembl:lncRNA